CCACCACCUGCUCCACCACCAGAUCGCACCAUCGCCGCUACACUGGUCCUCUUCUGCCUUCGAUCGAGCAAGGGCAGCACCACCACGAGCUCCACCUCUAUCGCGCCGCCUCUGUCGCUCUCUCUGCCACCGCUAGUCGCCACCGCUUGACGCAGCACCUCCUGCGCGCGACUCCGGUGAGUGCUGCUGCCAGUUUUGGUCGAUCCAGUGAAUGCUCUUCUAUUUCGUUCCAUUGAGAUUGGUUGAAGGUCAGUCGAUUUGGUUUCGUCACCGACCAAGCAAACUCCGGCAAUAAUAUUUUGUUUGGGUAAUAGAUGGAAAGAAGAAUCGUGGAGACUAAUUGAUUGAACGAGAUAUGGAUCGAUAGGAGUAAUAAUCAUUGUAUUAAAUAUGUAAAUGCAAAGAAUAGUGAAUUAUGGAGUAGAGUUUCGCAAUUGUAUUUCAAAUGAGUUGUAAAUGAAUAAAUAAAGUAUAAACAUUUAUUAUUUGGAUAUAUUUGUGAAAUAAAUUAUUGGGCUUGAAUCCACAAUUAUGAAUA